rnacentral:rRNA from 1 species
AUACGUAGGGUGCGAGCGUUGUCCGGAAUUACUGGGCGUAAAGAGCUCGUAGGUGGUUUGUCGCGUCGUCUGUGAAAUUCCGGGGCUUAACUCCGGGCGUGCAGGCGAUACGGGCAUAACUUGAGUACUGUAGCGGAGACUGGAAUUCCUGGUGUAGCGGUGAAAUGCGCAGAUAUCAGGAGGAACACCGGUGGCGAAGGCGGGUCUCUGGGCAGUAACUGACGCUGAGGAGCGAAAGCAUGGGUAGCGAACAGGAUUAGAUACCCUGGUAGUCCAUGCCGUAAACGGUGGGCGCUAGGUGUAGGGGUCUUCCACGACUUCUGUGCCGUAGCUAACGCAUUAAGCGCCCCGCCUGGGGAGUACGGCCACAAGGCUAAAACUCAAAGGAAUUGACGGGG